rnacentral:rRNA from 1 species
UGGGGAAUAUUGCACAAUGGGCGAAAGCCUGAUGCAGCAACGCCGCGUGAGUGAUGAAGGUCUUCGGAUUUGUAAAGCUCUGUCUUUUGGGACGAUAAUGACGGUACCAAAGGAGGAAGCCACGGCUAACUACGUGCCAGCAGCCGCGGUAAUACGUAGGUGGCGAGCGUUGUCCGGAUUUACUGGGCGUAAAGGGUGCGUAGGCGGAUGUUUAAGUGAGAUGUGAAAUACCCGGGCUUAACUUGGGUGCUGCAUUUCAAACUGGAUAUCUAGAGUGCAGGAGAGGAGAAUGGAAUUCCUAGUGUAGCGGUGAAAUGCGUAGAGAUUAGGAAGAACACCAGUGGCGAAGGCGAUUCUCUGGACUGUAACUGACGCUGAGGCACGAAAGCGUGGGUAGCAAACAGGAUUAGAUACCCUGGUAGUCCACGCCGUAAACGAUGAGUACUAGGUGUAGGAGGUAUCGACCCCUUCUGUGCCGCAGUAAACACAUUAAGUACUCCGCCUGGGAAGUACGAUCGCAAGAUUAAAAC